CGUAGAAACCAUGAGGGCAGGUCUCAUUACAGAACAGUCCUGCCCACCCGGGCUGGCAUGUGCACUCUCCUUUCAUCGGGUGACAGCUGGACAAAAAAAAAGAAGAAAAAAAGACAGAAAUAUGAUGAAACUGCUACAAAAACACAAAUGUUGAGAUUCCUCCAUACAUAUGUUGAGCACUUCUACACUGAAAACAUCUUAUCUGAGCCAGUUAGCUAAAACCCAAAGGUGUUUGUCAGGUGUGCUGGCCCUGAGAGGAGGUCCAACCAGUUAAAAUGAAAACACCUGUGUGGAUUUACUGUGUGUUUGCGUGGCCAGAAUGUAUGAAACUACUCAGAUAAGCAAAGGCUUUUGAAAACAGGUGGCAGCAACAAGCUCAUCAGGCCUUCCAGCAUGUGGUGUCAGGGACUUGAAAACAUACUUGGACAAGGCUCACACGGGAUCCUCCAGUCCCACACUUGCAGCUCUGCAGACAGUCCUUCCCAAAGGUGCGAGCUGGACAGGAGUCCUCACAGUAUCGUCCUCUGAACCCUGGAAGACACUCACAGGUCCCCUUCACAGGAUUGCAGAGAGCUCUAUUCUCACAUUUGCACUGCUGAGUGCAGUCUGGCCCCCAGUGAUUGUCAUCGCAGGCUGAAAGCCUACACUCCUGCAGUUUAACAGCUACACACAUUCACGCCAAAAGGGUCUCACUUUCGAUGCCCACAUUUUCCAACGAUUCAAACCAGUCAGCUUCCAGUUAAUUCGCCUGUUAUUCUAAACACUGAGUCAAACUGACUCUCCAGUGCAGGAAAUAAAAUAAAAACAUCCAAGCAAAAUAAGAUUACACAUGAUUACUGUAACUUGCAUACAGUGCAAAAAUGAUCAUUUUGUGUCAGUUUUGUUUCUCUUCAUGCAACUUUCCUCCUGUAAACCACAGCUGUAUGCUAUAUGAUGUUCUGAAAAACCAACA